rnacentral:rRNA from 1 species
UCCUCCCUCUGGCGGCGUGCUUAACACAUGCAAGUCGAACGGAAAGACCCUGCUUUUGUGGUGUGCUCGAGUGGCGAACGGGUGAGUAACACGUGAGUAACCUGCCCUUGACUUUGGGAUAACUUCAGGAAACUGGGGCUAAUACCGGAUAGGAGCUCCUGCUGCAUGGUGGGGGUUGGAAAGUUUCGGCGGUUGGGGAUGGACUCGCGGCUUAUCAGCUUGUUGGUGGGGUAGUGGCUUACCAAGGCUUUGACGGGUAGCCGGCCUGAGAGGGUGACCGGCCACAUUGGGACUGAGAUACGGCCCAGACUCCUACGGGAGGCAGCAGUGGGGAAUAUUGCACAAUGGGCGGAAGCCUGAUGCAGCAACGCCGCGUGCGGGAUGACGGCCUUCGGGUUGUAAACCGCUUUCGCCUGUGACGAAGCGUGAGUGACGGUAAUGGGUAAAGAAGCACCGGCUAACUACGUG